rnacentral:rRNA from 1 species
UACGAAGGGGGCUAGCGUUGCUCGGAAUUACUGGGCGUAAAGGGAGCGUAGGCGGACAUUUAAGUCAGGGGUGAAAUCCCGAGGCUCAACCUCGGAACUGCCUUUGAUACUGGGUGUCUUGAGUGUGAGAGAGGUGAGUGGAACUCCGAGUGUAGAGGUGAAAUUCGUAGAUAUUCGGAAGAACACCAGUGGCGAAGGCGGCUCACUGGCCCGGUACUGACGCUGAGGUGCGAAAGCGUGGGGAGCAAACGGG